GGCUCCGUGGCGUAAUGGUGGCGCGUCGGAUUCCAACAAUGAAAAUAUCCGAAGGUUGUGGGUUCAAUCCCCACCGGGGUCA
rnacentral:tRNA from 1 species